rnacentral:rRNA from 1 species
UGAACGCUGGCGGCGUGCUUAACACAUGCAAGUCGAACGAAGCACUUUAUUACGAUUUCUUCGGAAUGACGAUUUAGUGACUGAGUGGCGACGGGUGAGUAACGCGUGGGUAACCUGCCUCAUACAGGGGGAUAGCAGCUGGAAACGGCUGGUAAUACCGCAUAAGCGCACGGUAUCGCAUGAUACAGUGUGAAAAACUCCGGUGAUGGAUGGGAUGCGUCUGAUUAGCUUGUUGGCGGGUAACGGCCCACCAAGGCGACGAUCAGUAGGGGUUCUGAGAGGAAGGUCCCCCACAUUGGAACCGAGACACGGUCCAAACUCCUACGGGAGGCAGCAGUGAGGAAUAUUGGUCAAUGGGCGAGAGCCUGAACCAGCCAAGUAGCGUGCAGGAUGACGGCCCUAUGGGUUGUAAACUGCUUUUAUAAGGGAAUAAAGUGGGAGUCGUGACUCUUUUUGCAUGUACCUUAUGAAUAAGGGCCGGCUAAUUCCGUG